UACGUAGGGUGCGAGCGUUAAUCGGAAUUACUGGGCGUAAAGCGUGCGCAGGCGGUUCGCUAAGACCGAUGUGAAAUCCCCGGGCUUAACCUGGGAACUGCAUUGGUGACUGGCGGGCUAGAGUAUGGCAGAGGGGGGUAGAAUUCCACGUGUAGCAGUGAAAUGCGUAGAGAUGUGGAGGAAUACCGAUGGCGAAGGCAGCCCCCUGGGCCAAUACUGACGCUCAUGCACGAAGGCGUGGGGAGCAAACAGG
rnacentral:rRNA from 1 species